GCUCUUCUAGCUCAAUUGGUAGAGUGAUAGAUUCAUUAUCUAUUGGAUAUGGGUUCGAAUCCCAUGAGAGCG
rnacentral:tRNA from 1 species